rnacentral:rRNA from 1 species
CAGUAGCCGCGGUAAUACAGAGGGUGCGAGCGUUAAUCGGAUUUACUGGGCGUAAAGCGUGCGUAGGCGGCUUCUUAAGUCGGAUGUGAAAUCCCUGAGCUUAACUUAGGAAUUGCAUUCGAUACUGGGAAGCUAGAGUAUGGGAGAGGAUGGUAGAAUUCCAGGUGUAGCGGUGAAAUGCGUAGAGAUCUGGAGGAAUACCGAUGGCGAAGGCAGCCAUCUGGCCUAAUACUGACGCUCAUGCACGAAAGCGUGGGGAGCAAACAGGAUUAGAGACCCCCGUAGUCCCUGUCUCUUAUAC